UUUUUUGUUUUCUUAUAUAUUCUUCUUUGAAGGAGAUUGAUUAACCUGUGAUGGUCUGACAGCCCAACCAUUGCCGCCGCUGACGCCUCCAGCUAUGUCUCCGGCGCCUCCUGCUGCUGCUUCUCCCGCGCCAUCACCAUCACCUUAAGGUGAUCUUGAUUUCUCAUAUAUGCGUUGAACAAUAGCCUUAAAUUAUUUCUGUAGUAUUAUGUUUAGCCUCUAACAUUAUUUUUGACUUGGCGUUUUUGUGUUGCAGAAUCACCCUAGCUAAAGUGGCAAAAGGAUGGAUGCAUGGAUCGAAGAUGGUUUCGUCAGGAUUAGAUUAUCUGGAUAUAUAGAGUCAAAUUAUCGUUCUAGUUGGUUUCGUUUAGGUACCAAGAAAAAUAUCGAUCAGCUAGGCUAGCGUUUAGGGGUUCAGAGCGUACUUCAUACGUAGUUCCCAGUGCUACUCAGUUACGUACAUUAUUAGUAGAGUUAUCAAUCAUGUAAUCGCUAUUGGGUAAUAUAUAAACUAGUAGAUGCAUAUUAUGUUAUUGCUG
rnacentral:lncRNA from 1 species